rnacentral:snRNA from 1 species
GUGCUCGCUUCGGCAGCACAUAUACUAAAAUUGGAAUGAUACAGAGAAGAUUAGCAUGGCCCCUGCACAAGGAUGACAUGCAAAUUCGUGAAGCGUUCCCUAUUUUU